rnacentral:lncRNA from 1 species
CAGGAAGCGGGCAGUGGAGACCAAGAUUCAGUCCUGCUGCACAUUAAGAGGAAGUCAACCCAAAAGCACAGAGGCCCAGGAUGAUGGAAAUUAAGCAUAGCAAGCCAGCUGGGCAGGUCUGUUCAAAAUUUUAAGGGAAAGGGAAAUAAUAGCAAACUCCCCACAAUCCUAGUCAAAAACCCUUUAUGAGCACAUCGAUCUGAGCAAAGCCAAAGGAACCAAUCCCAGCACUGCAGGACAUGAACGCUGGAGUGGACCCACAG